ACAAGAUGAAUAAGACACCUGACUCGCAAGGAGCUUGGUCUACACUGCAAACACCAGCUUGGGUGCAGCUUCCCAAUCCUUCUCAGACAUCAUUCUAGUCAGCCACUGCCGAGAAACUGUAGUAGACACCCCAAAUGAAACCUACUUCAUAUCCCUUGUAUGAUGUUUAAAAAGCUAUGAACUAGAAUUUGGAGUUCAAGAAGACCAUCAGCCCCAACUUACUGUUUGCCCAAAUGAAUGGUGUAGAGAGCUAGCUACUAUUUUAAAGUGGCAGAACAACAGGACUGGUUGCUGUGUGAAGAAUAAUUGGUUGAGGAACGAAAGUGGAAUGCAGCAGGGGUCCAGUGAGGAAACCAUCCUAGCAGACCGGUGAAGGAAGGUGGUGACUAGGAAGAACAUGGCAGCAAGGGGAGAGGAAAGAAACAGCUGGAUUUGGAUCCAUUUGGUGGUGGAGUCCACAGAAUGAACUGGAUGUAGGAGGCUGGGAGAGGAGAGAAGCGAAAGAGCAUGAAAGGAAACUGGGCAUGUCCCAGAUGGAGGCUGCUUCUGUCAGCUCGGGGCUUUAGAUGUGGAUGAUAUGGAACAGAGCUGCGGCUGCCUUUCACUGGACAUGGAGUAUGUGAGAGAAAUAAACUUUU